UGGUGUAUGUCUUCUUUCCCAUUAGUGCCUGAAUGUUAUCCAGUGAGAAAAGGAAGGGAGUGGACCAGAAACUAAGGCAGCAGGCACUAAUGCUGACCAUGCGGAGGACUGAAAGCACACUGGUCUCCGAGGAUGUCCAGACAACUGAUGAUCACAACAGAAAGAAAAUGCAGUAAAGAAGACACCGGCCUUAAGUAGAACACUAGGAAGACAAGAGAAGUAGGUAAGCAAUGGCUGAAGAGAGAAAGCAGAUGGACAGGUGAAGGACUGAAGCUGAGAUCUGAGCCCAAGAUGGCUUUCCCAGUGAC